rnacentral:rRNA from 1 species
AUUGAACGCUGGCGGCAUGCUUUACACAUGCAAGUCGAACGGCAGCGCGGGCUUCGGCCUGGCGGCGAGUGGCGAACGGGUGAGUAAUACAUCGGAACGUGCCCAGUAGUGGGGGAUAGCUCGGAGAAAGCCGGAUUAAUACCGCAUACGACCUGAGGGUGAAAGCGGGGGAUCUUCGGACCUCGCGCUAUUGGAGCGGCCGAUGGCAGAUUAGCUAGUUGGUGGGGUAAAGGCCUACCAAGGCGACGAUCUGUAGCUGGUCUGAGAGGACGACCAGCCACACUGGGACUGAGACACGGCCCAGACUCCUACGGGAGGCAGCAGUGGGGAAUUUUGGACAAUGGGCGAAAGCCUGAUCCAGCAAUGCCGCGUGUGUGAUGAAGGCCUUCGGGUUGUAAAGCACUUUUGGCGGGAACGAAAAGGACUGUGCCAAUACCACGGUUCGAUGACGGUACCCGCAGAAUAAGCACCGGCUAACUACGUG